GACGAACGCUGGCGGCGUGCUUAACACAUGCAAGUCGAGCGAGGCCCCUCCUUCCGGAGGGUGUCCUAGCGGCGAACGGGUGAGUAACACGUGGGCAACCUGCCCUCCUCUCUGGGAUAACUCCGGUAAACCGGGGCUAAUACCGGCUACGACCUCCACGGGCAUCUGCGGUGGUGGAAAGUUUUUCGGCUGAGGUUGGGCCCGCGGCCUAUCAGCUAGUUGGUGGGGUAGUGGCUCACCAAGGCGACGACGGGUAGCCGGCCUGAGAGGGCGACCGGCCACACUGGGACUGAGACACGGCCCAGACUCCUACGGGAGGCAGCAGUGGGGAAUAUUGCGCAAUGGGCGAAAGCCUGACGCAGCGACGCCGCGUGAGGGACGAAGGCCUUCGGGUUGUAAACCUCUUUCAGCAGGGACGAAGCGAAAGUGACGGUACCUGCAGAAGAAGCACCGGCCAACUACGUG
rnacentral:rRNA from 1 species